rnacentral:rRNA from 1 species
UACAGAGGUCUCAAGCGUUGUUCGGAUUCAUUGGGCGUAAAGGGUGCGUAGGUGGCGCUGUAAGUCGGGUGUGAAAUUUCGGAGCUUAACUCCGAAACUGCAUUCGAUACUGCGGUGCUUGAGGACUGGAGAGGAGACUGGAAUUCAUGGUGUAGCAGUGAAAUGUGUUGAUAUCGGUGGGAACGCCAGUGGCGAAAGCGGCAGACUGGACCCUUCCUGACGCUGAUGCGCGAAAGCUAGGGGAGCAAACGGG